GAUGAACGCUAGCGGCAGGCCUAAUACAUGCAAGUCGAACGGUGUCUUCGGACAUAGUGGCGCACGGGUGCGUAACACGUAUGCAACCUACCUUACAUUGGGGGAUAGCCUUUCGAAAGAGAGAUUAAUACCGCAUAAGACAGUAGCUGGGCAUCCAGCAGCUGUUAAAGAUUUAUCGAUGUAAGCUGGGCAUGCGUCCAAUUAGCUAGUUGGUGAGGUAACGGCUCACCAAGGCAAUGAUUGGUAGGGGAACUGAGAGGUCAAUCCCCCACACUGGCACUGAGAUACGGGCCAGACUCGUACGGGGGGCAGCAGUAGGGAAUAUUGGGCAAUGGACGCAAGUCUGACCCAGCCAUGCCGCGUGCAGGAUGAAGGCGUUAUGCGUUGUAAACUGCUUUUAUACAGGAAGAAACGACUCUUGCGAGAGGCAUUGACGGUACUGUAUGAAUAAGCACCGGCUAACUCCGUGCCAGCAGCCGCCGUAACAC
rnacentral:rRNA from 1 species